rnacentral:rRNA from 1 species
AUUGAACGCUGGCGGCAGGCCUCACACAUGCAAGUCGAGCGAGCGGCGGACGGGUGAGUAAUGUAUGGGGAUCUGCCCGAUAGAGGGGGAUAACUACUGGAAACGGUAGCUAAUACCGCAUACUAUCAGAUGAACCCAUAUGGGAUUAGCUUGUUGGUGGGGUAAAGGCUCACCUAGGCGACGAUCUCUAGCUGGUCUGAGAGGAUGAACAGCCACACUGGGACUGAGACACGGUCCAGACUCCUACGGGAGGCAGCAGUGGGGAAUAUUGCACAAUGGGCGCAAGCCUGAUGCAGCCAUGCCGCGUGUAUGAAGAAGGCCUUAGGGUUGUAAAGUACUUUCAGCGGGGAGGCGUUACCCGCAGAAGAAGCACCGGCUAACUCCGUGCCAGCAGCCGCGGUAAUAC